GGAAAUUUAGGUCAAGGACGCCGGGAGCACACCCACACCCUGCGCUCCCAGGGCAGUCCUCGAGAUCCUCGGGAUCUCGGGAGCUUGCGGAUGGAGGAGACCCUCCUGCACAAACAUCAGCCACAAGUUUUAUUUUCCCUUCGCGCGGCAAGUUCUCUGGCUCCCGCUCCACACUGGCACGUCCUGCACGGCUCCCCGCCCUUCCCCGGCAGAGGCAGAAGUCAGUGGCUACCUUCCUGAUAUCGACUUGAACAGACUCUUAAGUGGUGAGCCGAGAGGAGACCUGAUGGGCCGGGGCCCCAAGCUCUGCAGUGUCCAAGCCAGAGACUGAUAAAGGACUAAAGGAGAAAGCUACGUCUCUCCACUGUUUUUACUAAGAGUUGGAAAUCUGGUGUCUGGCUGAAGAGUUGUGUUUCUUUUUGCCUCUUAUGACUGACUCUCCUUUCUCACCUCUAGUUCAAAAUGACUGCAUGCAGCCAAGCCACCAACUUCGUCUUGAUGAAAGGGGCCGGGCUCCCAGAAGAAAAUAGCUUUGCCUUUCAACUCCACCUGGAAACGGUUGACAUGGCGCUACCUAGCCUUGGAGCUUCCCCCAUCUCUGCCAAGGCUGGCCCCUGCCAAUCUAAUCUAAAUAUUACAGCUGGAAGUACAGGGUCUCCCCCACCCCCGACCCUUUCUCCCACACUCUGUACGCUGUACCUUGGGACCUUUCAACAUUCUCUCUAGUCAUUCUGAGCACCUGCACCCUGCCCAUCCACUAAGGCAACAGGCUCAGACCCACAGCUACACAUUAGUUUUUUAAAAAAACUUUUGUUCCCUCUUUACACAAUACAGGAGGUGGUCACAGCAGCUGAACACAGCCCGGCAACAGUGUUAACUCCACUAUGUUUGUAUCUCGGGAAGGCCGGUCCAACAAAAUCUCUGCAGAUCUUUGAGAAAUUGCCACUUUGUAGAAGAAACGUGCACUUUGGAGGACUGUGGGUGAGUGUGUCCUCUACUGGUGAUCAGAGGAAGCGCUUUGUACUGUAGGUUCCCUCUUCUGGUGGAGCAGGGGAAAAAAAAAAAAGACUGUCUCCUCCCUUUACAGACUCUCAUUCCAGAGUUCAAGUUCCUGCUCCCAAAUUCUGACAUCAAAAUCUCCCCAAUUUAGGGGUUUCCUGGAGCUGAUGCCAAGACCCACCACGAUAGCCCAUGCUGCAAUUUCUACAAUUAAUACCAGUCAGCU
rnacentral:lncRNA from 1 species